rnacentral:rRNA from 1 species
AGUGAACGCUGGCGGUAGGCCUAACACAUGCAAGUCGAACGGCAGCACAGUAAGAGCUUGCUCUUACGGGUGGCGAGUGGCGGACGGGUGAGGAAUACAUCGGAAUCUACUUUUUCGUGGGGGAUAACGUAGGGAAACUUACGCUAAUACCGCAUACGACCUACGGGUGAAAGCAAGGGAUCUUCGGACCUUUCGCGAUUGAAUGAGCCGAUGUCGGAUUAGCUAGUUGGCGGGGUAAAGGCCCACCAAGGCGACGAUCCGUAGCUGGUCUGAGAGGAUGAUCAGCCACACUGGAACUGAGACACGGUCCAGACUCCUACGGGAGGCAGCAGUGGGGAAUAUUGGACAAUGGGCGCAAGCCUGAUCCAGCCAUACCGCGUGGGUGAAGAAGGCCUUCGGGUUGUAAAGCCCUUUUGUUGGGAAAGAAAAGCAGCAGGUUAAUACCCCGCUGUUCUGACGGUACCCAAAGAAUAAGCACCGGCUAACUUCGUG